rnacentral:rRNA from 1 species
GGGGAAUAUUGCACAAUGGGCGCAAGCCUGAUGCAGCCAAGCCGCGGGUAUGAAGAAGGCCUUCGGGUUGUAAAGUACUAUCAGCGGGGAGGAAGGUGUUGUGGUUAAUAACCGCAGCAAUUGACGUUACCCGCAGAAGAAGCACCGGCUAACUCCGUGCCAGCAGCCGCGGUAAUACGUAGGGUGCGAGCGUUAAUCGGAAUUACUGGGCGUAAAGCGUGCGCAGGCGGUUUCGUAAGACAGACGUGAAAUCCCCGGGCUCAACCUGGGAACGGCGUUUGUGACUGCGAGGCUAGAGUACGGCAGAGGGGGGUAGAAUUCACGUGUAGCAGUGAAAUGCGUAGAGAUGUGUAGGAAUACCGAUGGCGAAGGCAGCCCCCUGGGUUAGUACUGACGCUCAUGCACGAAAGCGUGGGGAGCAAACG